UCAUUGGCUAACUGAAUUCUUCCUGCAACUACCCCAACGCCCUCUAGGGCUGCACCGAGAAAAUCUUACGCACUUUCCUUUGUGAAAAGCAGAGUUCUGCGUUUCUCUCAUUACUUUCAUUUGAUGAGGAAGUUUUGUGGUUAAGACGUUCAAGAAGAGUAACAGGAAUAAGUCUUAGGAAGAUGCCCAGAAUUCCUGCUCUAAGGCUUCUGGCUUCAAGCUCAGCAGGUCUUUUAGGGUGUGGUUGAAGACGUGUUGCUUCUCUUCACAGAGGGCGGAUGAGUAAUAGGUGCUGGGAAUACAGCUAUGAAGUGAACAAGAGAGACCAGAUCCCACUAGAAUGUAAACUCUCUGAAGACAAAGACAGUGUGAACUCCCUGAAGACAAGGCAAAGCCUGGAGUCCAGGCUGAUGGGGCACCUGGUGCCGCAGGAGCUGCCCAGGGCCUUGGGAGACAGCUGGAGAUGGGGAAAAGGGCAGUUUGAGUGCUGAAUUUUUUGUGGUGUUCUCCCCUUUCUCCAAUCCCUACAGGUGGCUUGAGUUCAGUACCAAAGAAGUUUUGAAAGGAUAAAAAUGAGUGGUAUACCAUGCCUUGCAUACCUCAAGCUAUUUUUCUAUGGCCUUUGAACACUAAAAAUACUAUAACUUGAAAUAAAAUUCUUCAAAUACACUCUU